rnacentral:lncRNA from 13 species
AUUCUAACAGUUUAAGGAUGUACAGCUCUCAAAACAUGUUCUCUGUUUUUGUUCUUUCUAAUUCCAGGCCAAGCAGCAGAACUGUCAGCCAUGCAGGCCAGGGACAGAGAGUGAGAGUGAGAGCUCAGCCCAGGAGGCCAGACUGAGUGCCAGUGAGAGAGGUGGAGGAGCUGAAGACAGGCAAAAAAGUGGCAUUCUAUGCUGCUUUGACUGACUCUGGGAGGAUAGGACCCUUCAAUGCUGACAUCCCACUGGUCUACAGUAAAGUCUUCCCCAACAAAUCGGAAAGGCCUACAACUCACUUACAGGUUCUCAGCUGAGUCCAAAGGCACACCUGUCUCCUCUGACGCCAUAGUCAAUCAACCUGUGGGGGUAAACGAUUAUUAUACAAAAGUGU